UCUGUAGUGGUCCAGUGGUUAGGAUAAUCCGUUUUCGCCGGAUUGGCCGGGGUUCGAUUCCCCGUUACGGAA